rnacentral:tRNA from 1 species
UCCCUGGUAGCUCAGUUGGUAGAGAAUCUGCCUGCAAUGUGGGAGACCCAGGAUAAAUCCCUGGGUUGGGAA